rnacentral:rRNA from 1 species
AUUGAACGCUGGCGGCAGGCCUAACACAUGCAAGUCGAGCGGAUGAAGGGAGCUUGCUCCUGGAUUCAGCGGCGGACGGGCGAGUAAUGCCUAGGAAUCUGCCUGGUAGUGGGGGAUAACGUCCGGAAACGGGCGCUAAUACCGCAUACGUCCUGAGGGAGAAAGUGGGGGAUCUUCGGACCUCACGCUAUCAGAUGAGCCUAGGUCGGAUUAGCUAGUUGGUGGGGUAAAGGCCUACCAAGGCGACGAUCCGUAACUGGUCUGAGAGGAUGAUCAGUCAAACUGAAACUGAGAAAGGUCCAGACUCCUACGGGAGGCAGCAGUGGGGAAUAUUGGACAAUGGGCGAAAGCCUGAUCCAGCCAUGCCGCGUGUGUGAAGAAGGUCUUCGGAUUGUAAAGCACUUUAAGUUGGGAGGAAGGGCAGUAAGUUAAUACCUUGCUGUUUUGACGUUACCAACAGAAUAAGCACCGGCUAACUUCGUG